CAAUAGCGUAUAUUAAAGUUGUUGCAGUUAAAAAGCUCGUAGUUGGACUUCUGCGGGUGGCGGCCGGUCGUGCUCGAAACGGGCGUGAACUUGGCGUGCCGCCCGCAUCUUUGGGGAGAUUGUGCGUGGCAUUAAGUUGUCGUGCAUGGGAUUCUCAUCAUUUACUGUGAAAAAAUUAGAGUGUUUAAAGCAGGCCUUUGCCUUGAAUACAUUAGCAUGGAAUAAUAAGAUAGGACCGUUGUCUAUUUUGUUGGUUUACAGAUGUCGGUAAUGAUUAAUAGGGAUAGUUGGGGGUAUUCGUAUUCAGUUGUCAGAGGUGAAAUUCUUGGAUUUAUGGAAGAUGAACAACUGCGAANGNAUUUACNAAGGAUGUUUNCAUUA
rnacentral:rRNA from 1 species